CAAUAGCGUAUAUUAAAGUUGUUGCGGUUAAAAAGCUCGUAGUUGGAUUUCUGCCGAGGACGACCGGUCCGCCCUGUGGGUGCGCAUCUGGCUCGGCCUGGGCAUCUUCUUGGAGAACGUAUCUGCACUUGACUGUGUGGUGCGGUAUCCAGGACUUUUACUUUGAGGAAAUUAGAGUGUUUCAAGCAGGCACACGCCUUGAAUACAUUAGCAUGGAAUAAUAAGAUAGGACUUCAGUUCUAUUUUGUUGGUUUCUAGAGCUGAGGUAAUGAUUAAUAGGGAUAGUUGGGGGCAUUCGUAUUUAACUGUCAGAGGUGAAAUUCUUGGAUUUAUGAAAGACGAACUUCUGCGAAAGCAUUUGCCAAGGAUGUUUUCAUUAA
rnacentral:rRNA from 1 species